rnacentral:rRNA from 1 species
UACAGAGGUCCCAAGCGUUUGUUCGGAUUCACUGGGCGUAAAGGGUGCGUAGGCGGUCGGGGUAAGUCUGACGUGAAAUCUUCAAGCUUAACUUGGAAACUGCGUCGGAUACUAUUCGGCUGGAGGAAUGGAGGGGAGACUGGAAUACUUGGUGUAGCAGUGAAAUGCGUAGAUAUCAAGUGGAACACCAGUGGCGAAGGCGAGUCUCUGGACAUUUCCUGACGCUGAGGCACGAAAGCCAGGGGAGCAAACGGG